AUACAAUGGUGAAGACAUCUUCUUAAGAGCUCUUUAUACCUCUCCAAUGCUUCAUAUAGUGACUCCCUUUCUUGCUGCACAAAAUAUGUGAUUUCUCGUCUUAGUUU